GGGGGAACUGAAACAUCUAAGUACCCCGAGGAAAAGAAAUCAACCGAGAUUCCGAAAGUAGCGGCGAGCGAAAUUGGACUAGCCCUUAAGCUUUACACGCGUUAGACGAACGGUCUGGAAAGUCCGACGAUACAGGGUGAUAGUCCCGUAGUUGACGACGUGUGUUCAGUGAAAUCGAGUAGGGCGGGACACGUGAUAUCCUGUCUGAAUAUGGGGGGGACCAUCCUCCAAGGCUAAAUACUACUGACUGACCGA
rnacentral:rRNA from 1 species